AGUGAACGCUGGCGGUAGGCCUAACACAUGCAAGUCGAACGGCAGCACAGUAAGAGCUUGCUCUUACGGGUGGCGAGUGGCGGACGGGUGAGGAAUACAUCGGAAUCUACUUUUUCGUGGGGGAUAACGUAGGGAAACUUACGCUAAUACCGCAUACGACCUACGGGUGAAAGCAGGGGAUCUUCGCACCUUGCGCGAUUGAAUGAGCCGAUGUCGGAUUAGCUAGUUGGCGGGGUAAAGGCCCACCAAGGCGACGAUCCGUAGCUGGUCUGAGAGGAUGAUCAGCCACACUGGAACUGAGACACGGUCCAGACUCCUACGGGAGGCAGCAGUGGGGAAUAUUGGACAAUGGGCGCAAGCCUGAUCCAGCAAUACCGCGUGAGUGAAGAAGGCCUUCGGGUUGUAAAGCCCUUUUGUUGGGAAAGAAAAGCAGCAGGUUAAUACCCCGCUGUUCUGACGGUACCUAAACAAUAAGCACCGGCUAACUUCGUG
rnacentral:rRNA from 1 species